GACGUAGGGCGCGAGCGUUGUCCGGAUUUAUUGGGCGUAAAGCGCUCGUAGGCGGUUUGUCGCGUCUGCUGUGAAAACUCGAGGCUCAACCUCGGGCCUGCAGUGGGUACGGGCAGACUAGAGUGCGGUAGGGGAGACUGGAAUUCCUGGUGUAGCGGUGGAAUGCGCAGAUAUCAGGAGGAACACCGAUGGCGAAGGCAGGUCUCUGGGCCGCAACUGACGCUGAGGAGCGAAAGCAUGGGGAGCGAACAGG
rnacentral:rRNA from 1 species